rfam:Oryza nivara chromosome 7, whole genome shotgun sequence.
AAUAAGUGCAGCCAUGAGUUUUCGCGUCCAACUUUAAUUAUCCGUCUUAUUUGAAAUUUUUUUAUAAUUAGCAAUUUUGUUGUUAUAAGAUAAUAAAACAUGAAUAAUACUUUACUCGUAACUUAUGUUUUUAAUUUUUUUAAAAUUUUUUUCAAAUAAGACGAAUAAUUAAAGUUGGGCACUAAAAACCAUGGCUGCACUUAUU